UGCCGGGUCCUGCCGGGCAGGGGCUGGUGAACCCCGCCAGGCCCGGAAGGGAGCAACGGUAAGCCAGUUUCCCUGCGCCGGACAGGGGUGCCCGGUUUUA
rnacentral:SRP_RNA from 1 species